UACAGAGGGUGCAAGCGUUGUUCGGAAUUACUGGGCGUAAAGCGCACGUAGGCGGCUCUUUAAGUCGGGGUGAAAUCCUGGAGCUCAACUCCAGAACUGCCUUCGAUACUGAAGAGCUCGAGUCCGGGAGAGGUGAGUGGAACUGCGAGUGUAGAGGUGAAAUUCGUAGAUAUUCGCAAGAACACCAGUGGCGAAGGCGGCUCACUGGCCCGGUACUGACGCUGAGGUGCGAAAGCGUGGGGAGCAAACAGGG
rnacentral:rRNA from 1 species